UGCCAGAUUCCUCUUAAGAAAUCCCC
rnacentral:piRNA from 1 species